rnacentral:rRNA from 1 species
UUCCAGACUCCUACGGGAGGCAGCAGUGAGGAAUAUUGGUCAAUGGUCGGGAGACUGAACCAGCCAAGCCGCGUGAGGGAGGAAGGUACAGAGUAUCGUAAACCUCUUUUGUCAGGGAACAAAGACUGGGACGCGUCCCCGGAUGAGUGUGCCUGAAGAAAAAGCAUCGGCUAACUCCGUGCCAGCAGCCGCGGUAAUACGUAUGGAGCAAGCGUUAUCCGGAUUUACUGGGUGUAAAGGGAGAGUAGGUGGCAGAGCAAGUCCGAAGUGAAAACCCAAAGCUCAACUAUGGGAAUGCUUUAGAAACUGCUCAGCUAGAGUGCAGGAGAGGCAAGUGGAAUUCUUAGUGUAGCGGUGAAAUGCGUAGAUAUUAGGAGGAACACCAGUGGCGAAGGCGGCUUGCUGGACUGUAACUGACACUGAGGCUCGAAAGCGUGGGGAGCAAACAGGAUUAGAUACCCCAGUAUAA